rnacentral:rRNA from 1 species
GAUUGAACGCUGGCGGUAUGCUUAACACAUGCAAGUCGAACGGAAACGAUACUAGCUUGCUAGUAGGCGUCGAGUGGCGGACGGGUGAGUAACGCGUAGGAAUCUGCCUGAUAGUGGGGGAUAGCCCGAAGAAAUUCGGAUUAAUACCGCAUAAUCUAUUCGUAGUAAAGUGGGGGACUUUCGAGCCUCACGCUAUCAGAUGAGCCUGCGUAAGAUUAGCUUGUUGGUAGGGUAAAAGCCUACCAAGGCGACGAUCUUUAGCUGGUCUGAGAGGAUGAUCAGCCACAUCGGGACUGAGACACGGCCCGAACUCCUACGGGAGGCAGCAGUGGGGAAUAUUGGACAAUGGGGGCAACCCUGAUCCAGCAAUACCGCGUGUGUGAAGAAGGCCUGAGGGUUGUAAAGCACUUUCAAUUGUGAAGAAAAGUUAGCGGUUAAUAACCGUUAGCCUUGACGUUAACUUUAGAAGAAGCACCGGCUAACUCCGUGCCAGCAGCCGCGGUAAUACGGAGGGUGCAAGCGUUAAUCGGAAUUACUGGGCGUAAAGCGUGCGUAGGCGGUUUAUUAAGUCAGAUGUGAAAGCCCCGGGCUUAACCUGGGAACUGCAUUUGAAACUGGUCAACUAGAGUAUGGUAGAGGAAAGUGGAAUUUCUGGUGUAGCGGUGAAAUGCGUAGAUAUCAGAAGGAACAUCAAUGGCGAAAGGCAGCUUUCUGGACCAAUACUGACGCUGAGGUACGAAAGCGUGGGGUAGCAAACAGGAUUAGAUACCCUGGUAGUCCACGCCGUAAACGAUGAUAACUAGCCGUUGGGGGGAUUUACCCUUUAGUGGCGAAGCUAACGCGUUAAGUUAUCCGCCUGGGGAGUACGGCCGCAAGGUUAAAACUCAAAGGAAUUGACGGGGACCCGCACAAGCGGUGGAGCAUGUGGUUUAAUUCGAUGCAACGCGAAGAACCUUACCUGGUCUUGACAUCCUGCGAACUUUCUAGAAAUAGAUUGGUGCCUUCGGGAACGCAGUGACAGGUGCUGCAUGGCUGUCGUCAGCUCGUGUCGUGAGAUGUUGGGUUAAGUCCCGUAACGAGCGCAACCCCUAUCCUUAUUUGCCAGCACAUCAUGGUGGGAACUAUAAGGAGACUGCCGGUGAUAAACCGGAGGAAGGCGGGGACGACGUCAAGUCAUCAUGGCCCUUACGACCAGGGCUACACACGUGCUACAAUGGGAAGGACAAAGAGCCGCGAAGCCGCGAGGUGUAGCUAAUCUCAUAAACCUUUUCGUAGUCCGGAUUGGAGUCUGCAACUCGACUCCAUGAAGUCGGAAUCGCUAGUAAUCGUAGAUCAGAAUGCUACGGUGAAUACGUUCCCGGGUCUUGUACUCACCGCC